ensembl:rRNA 5S_rRNA 5S ribosomal RNA
GUCUCCAGCCAUAUCAGCCUGAAGGCGCCCGAUCUCGUCUGAUCUCGGAAGCUAAGCAGGGUCGGGCCUGGUUAGUACUUGGAUGGGAGACCACCUGGGAAUACCGGGUGCUGUAGGCU